rnacentral:rRNA from 1 species
UGCUCCCUGGGUGACGAGCGGCGGACGGGUGAGUAAUGUCUGGGAAACUGCCUGAUGGAGGGGGAUAACUACUGGAAACGGUAGCUAAUACCGCAUAACGUCGCAAGACCAAAGAGGGGGACCUUCGGGCCUCUUGCCAUCAGAUGUGCCCAGAUGGGAUUAGCUAGUAGGUGGGGUAAUGGCUCACCUAGGCGACGAUCCCUAGCUGGUCUGAGAGGAUGACCAGCCACACUGGAACUGAGACACGGUCCAGACUCCUACGGGAGGCAGCAGUGGGGAAUAUUGCACAAUGGGCGCAAGCCUGAUGCAGCCAUGCCGCGUGUGUGAAGAAGGCCUUCGGGUUGUAAAGCACUUUCAGCGAGGAGGAAGGUGGUGAGCUUAAUACGCUCAUCAAUUGACGUUACUCGCAGAAGAAGCACCGGCUAACUCCGUGCCAGCAGCCGCUGUAAUACGGAGGGUGCAAGCGUUAAUCGGAAUUACUGGGCGUAAAGCGCACGCAGGCGGUUUGUUAAGUCAGAUGUGAAAUCCCCGGGCUCAACCUGGGAACUGCAUUUGAAACUGGCAAGCUAGAGUCUCGUAGAGGGGGGUAGAAUUCCAGGUGUAGCGGUGAAAUGCGUAGAGAUCUGGAGGAAUACCGGUGGCGAAGGCGGCCCCCUGGACGAAGACUGACGCUCAGGUGCGAAAGCGUGGGGAGCAAACAGGAUUAGAUACCCUGGUAGUCCACGCUGUAAACGAUGUCGAUUUGGAGGUUGUGCCCUUGAGGCGUGGCUUCCGGAGCUAACGCGUUAAAUCGACCGCCUGGGGAGUACGGCCGCAAGGUUAAAACUCAAAUGAAUUGACGGGGGCCCGCACAAGCGGUGGAGCAUGUGGUUUAAUUCGAUGCAACGCGAAGAACCUUACCUACUCUUGACAUCCAGAGAACUUUCCAGAGAUGGAUUGGUGCCUUCGGGAACUCUGAGACAGGUGCUGCAUGGCUGUCGUCAGCUCGUGUUGUGAAAUGUUGGGUUAAGUCCCGCAACGAGCGCAACCCUUAUCCUUUGUUGCCAGCGGUUCGGCCGGGAACUCAAAGGAGACUGCCAGUGAUAAACUGGAGGAAGGUGGGGAUGACGUCAAGUCAUCAUGGCCCUUACGAGUAGGGCUACACACGUGCUACAAUGGCAUAUACAAAGAGAAGCGACCUCGCGAGAGCAAGCGGACCUCAUAAAGUAUGUCGUAGUCCGGAUUGGAGUCUGCAACUCGACUCCAUGAAGUCGGAAUCGCUAGUAAUCGUAGAUCAGAAUG